GACGAACGCUGGCGGCGUGCUUAACACAUGCAAGUCGAACGGUGAAGCUCCAGCUUGCUGGAGUGGAUCAGUGGCGAACGGGUGAGUAACACGUGAGCAACCUGCCCCAGACUCUGGAAUAAGCGCUGGAAACGGCGUCUAAUACUGGAUACGAGAUCAAGCCGCAUGGUUAUGGUCUGGAAAGUUUUUCGGUUUGGGAUGGGCUCGCGGCCUAUCAGCUUGUUGGUGAGGUAAUGGCUCACCAAGGCGACGACGGGUAGCCGGCCUGAGAGGGCGACCGGCCACACUGGGACUGAGACACGGCCCAGACUCCUACGGGAGGCAGCAGUGGGGAAUAUUGCACAAUGGGCGAAAGCCUGAUGCAGCGACGCCGCGUGAGGGAUGACGGCCUUCGGGUUGUAAACCUCUUUCAGCAGGGAAGAAGCGAAAGUGGCGGUACCUGCAGAAGAAGCACCGGCUAACUACGUG
rnacentral:rRNA from 1 species